UGGUGAUGCCUACUUACCAUUAUCAAUGAAGGCACUCGGUCAUGCUGUGGGUUGUCAUAAACCUUAGACGCGUUUGUUGUCGGUAGUGUGGUGUGAGGAUGGGUUGAAUGCCCA
rfam:Virgibacillus necropolis strain LMG 19488 chromosome, complete genome.